UCGAGAAUCAUUCACAAUGGGCGAAAGCCUGAUGGUGUGACGCCGCGUGGAGGAUGACGGUCUUCGGAUUGUAAACUCCUGUCAAGUGAGAGUAAGGCUUGGUGUUAACUGCAUCCAAGUUUGAGAGUAUCACUAGAGGAAGAGACGGCUAACUCUGUGCCAGCAGCCGCGGUAAUACAGAGGUCUCAAGCGUUGUUCGGAAUCACUGGGCGUAAAGGGUGCGUAGGCUGUGUUGUAAGUCAGAGGUGA
rnacentral:rRNA from 1 species